AAAGGUUUAGUUAAACUAUAACAAUAACUUGUCAAGUUACAAUCACCCAAAAGGUAGCCUUUA
rnacentral:tRNA from 1 species